UAAUACGUAGGGUGCGAGCGUUAAUCGGAAUUACUGGGCGUAAAGCGUGCGCAGGCGGUCUUGCAAGACAGUGGUGAAAUCCCCGGGCUCAACCUGGGAACUGCCAUUGUGACUGCAAGGCUGGAGUACGGCAGAGGGGGAUGGAAUUCCGCGUGUAGCAGUGAAAUGCGUAGAUAUGCGGAGGAACACCGAUGGCGAAGGCAGUCCCCUGGGCCUGUACUGACGCUCAUGCACGAAAGCGUGGGGAGCAAACAGG
rnacentral:rRNA from 1 species